UACGGAGGGUGCAAGCGUUAUCCGGAUUCACUGGGUUUAAAGGGAGCGUAGGUGGGCUGGUAAGUCAGUGGUGAAAUCUCCGGGCUUAACUCGGAAACUGCCGUUGAUACUAUCAGUCUUGAAUAUUGUGGAGGUAAGCGGAAUAUGUCAUGUAGCGGUGAAAUGCUUAGAUAUGACACAGAACACCGAUUGCGAAGGCAGCUGGCUAAACUAAAAUUGACGCUGAGGCACGAAAGUGUGGGGAUCAAACAGG
rnacentral:rRNA from 1 species